rnacentral:rRNA from 1 species
CGCUGGCGGCGUGCCUAAUACAUGCAAGUCGAACGGUCUUUCUAUGGAAGCUUGCUUCCACUGAGAAGAUAGUGGCGAACGGGUGAGUAACACGUGGGUAACCUGCCCAUAAGAGGGGGAUAACAUCCGGAAACGGGUGCUAAUACCGCAUAGUUUUCUUGAUCACAUGAUUGAGAAAGGAAAGACGGCCUUUGUGCUGUCGCUUAUGGAUGGACCCGCGGCGUAUUAGUUAGUUGGUGAGGUAACGGCUCACCAAGACGAUGAUACGUAGCCGACCUGAGAGGGUGAUCGGCCGCAUUGGGACUGAGACACGGCCCAAACUCCUACGGGAGGCAGCAGUAGGGAAUCUUCCGCAAUGGACGAAAGUCUGACGGAGCAACGCCGCGUGAGUGAAAGAAGGUUUUCGGAUCGUAAAACUCUGUUGUCAGAGAAGAACAAGUUGGAGAGUAACUGCUCCAGCCUUGACGGUAUCUGACCAGAAAGCCACGGCUAACUACGUGCCAGCCGCCGC